GAUGAACGCUAGCUACAGGCUUAACACAUGCAAGUCGAGGGGCAGCAUAUCGGUAGCUUGCUACUGAUGAUGGCGACCGGCGCACGGGUGAGUAACGCGCAUCCAACCUUCCCCUUAGUAGGGCAUAGCCCGGCGAAAGUCGGAUUAACACCCUAUGUUAUCCAGCGAUGGCAUCUGAAUUGGAUUAAAGGUUUACCGCUAAGGGAUGGGGAUGCGUCUGAUUAGGUAGUCGGCGGGGUAACGGCCCACCGAGCCUGCGAUCAGUAGGGGUUCUGAGAGGAAGGUCCCCCACAUUGGAACUGAGACACGGUCCAAACUCCUACGGGAGGCAGCAGUGAGGAAUAUUGGUCAAUGGGCGAGAGCCUGAACCAGCCAAGUAGCGUGCAGGAAGACGGCCCUAUGGGUUGUAAACUGCUUUUAUACAGGGAUAAAGUCGGGGACGUGUCCCCGUUUGCAGGUACUGUAUGAAUAAGGACCGGCUAAUUCCGUGCCAGCCGCCGCGGUAAUAC
rnacentral:rRNA from 1 species